UUUAGCUUAUAGACGGUACUGAGGGUCAUUAAAGUUCUGAUAUUCAUUAAUAUUAAAAAUUAGAAUGAGAAUUACUUAUGAAAAGCAGCCAAGAGUAGCUGCUUAAGAUCAAGGGAACAGUGACACAGUGAAAGGGGAAUAAGACAUGUUGGAGAUGGCUCAUGUUGGGUUCUUAGAUUUGCUUUACCGAUUAAACUAAUGCAUCAUUUCCUUUACUAUGUGUUAAAGGCUCAGCAAGCCUUGGUGGUG
rnacentral:misc_RNA from 1 species